rnacentral:lncRNA from 10 species
CUUGGGGAGGGACGGGCACUGUUCCCCAGAGCAGUGCAAUCAAUGCUGGGAAACUGAAGCUGCGAGUGUCCGAGGGACCCUGGGAUGUCUCUGGGGUCUGCGUAGGUACCCAUGGAGGAGCAGAGAUGGUGGAUGAAGGAGGCCGUGGAGGAGAAAAGAACACAGGAAUUUACCAGAAAUUGGCAGGCUGUGGAAUUGAUGGAGUCCACUUACUGUCCAGGCCUAAGGGGUCCAAUAAUCCCAUCCUUUGCCGAAAGCUUUACUGUGGGACUGGCAUCAUUUCAAGCAUUUAAUCCUCGUCCCAACUCUACGAGGAAG